AAACAGAUAUCCUAAGAUGGAGAUCCAUCAAAGAGAAACAAGAGCCAAAGGAGAGAGCACCCAAUAACUCAAAACUGGAACAGCUUAAGAAAAAAAAAAAUAUAUUGAAUUAUAACUCAAAGUACAAAUACCUAUGAAUUUAUACUGAUAAGAAUAAAUAAUUGAAUGAGUGAAGAAAUGAAUAAAUGAAUAAGUAAAUAGCACUGGGGACCAUUCUCUCUCUCUUGAAAAGAAUUUUGAAUAAUUUAUGUAGAUACUACAAUUUCAGGAAAAUGAAAUUUUUUCUCUUCACUCCUCAAGUGUGAACUGUACACAAUGAAUUCAUUUAAAAAAACUAUAGUGUACUAAAAAAGAAAAAAAUAUAUAAUGUUACAGUGGAGAAUCUUGCCAAACACUACCUCUGUCAUGUCAUUAGCUUAAUAUCAUUAGUAGUAAGUCAUAUUGAUAGAAAGUUCUUUUGGUAUGAUGUGAUGCAGCACUCUAUCUCUGUGGUCAUCCCCAAAAUGCAUAAUUCCAAUCUAAACAUGAGUAAACUACCAUAGAAUGCCAAUUGUGGGACAUUCUAUAAAAUAUUUGAACAUUCCUCCUCAAAAAUAUCAAAUUGUAAAAAAUAAGGAUGUCAAAUUCUAAAAUACUGUAACAAUCAAGGGAAGAUUAAAGAGAAACAACAAUUAAAUAUAAUGGA
rnacentral:lncRNA from 1 species